AUUGAACGCUGGCGGCAUGCUUUACACAUGCAAGUCGAACGGUAACAGGGAGCUUGCUCCGCUGACGAGUGGCGAACGGGUGAGUAAUGCAUCGGAACGUGCCGUGUAAUGGGGGAUAACGUAGCGAAAGUUACGCUAAUACCGCAUACGCCCUGAGGGGGAAAGUGGGGGACCGCAAGGCCUCACGUUAUACGAGCGGCCGAUGUCGGAUUAGCUAGUUGGUGGGGUAAAGGCCUACCAAGGCGACGAUCCGUAGCGGGUCUGAGAGGAUGAUCCGCCACACUGGGACUGAGACACGGCCCAGACUCCUACGGGAGGCAGCAGUGGGGAAUUUUGGACAAUGGGGGCAACCCUGAUCCAGCCAUGUCGCGUGAGUGAAGAAGGCCUUCGGGUUGUUAAAAGG
rnacentral:rRNA from 1 species